AGAUUGAACGCUGGCGGCAUGCCUUACACAUGCAAGUCGAACGCGAAAGUAGGGGGCAACCCCUGCGAGUAGAGCGGCGAACGGGUGAGUAAUACAUCGGAACGUAUCCAGUAGCGGGGGAUAACCUCUCGAAAGAGAGGCUAAUACCGCAUACGACCUACGGGUGAAAGAGGGGGAUCGCAAGACCUCUCACUAUUGGAGCGGCCGAUGUCGGAUUAGCUAGUUGGCGGGUAAAAGCCCACCAAGGCUACGAUCCGUAGCUGGUCUGAGAGGACGACCAGCCACACUGGAACUGAGACACGGUCCAGACUCCUACGGGAGGCAGCAGUGGGAAUUUGGACAAUGGGCGAAAGCCUGAUCCAGCCAUGCCGCGUGAGUGAAGAAGGCCUCGGUUGUAAGACUCUUUCGCGGGUACGGAAAGAAGUACGCGCUAACACCGCGGACGACCAUCGACGGUACCCGACCGAAGAAAGAAGACGACCGGACC
rnacentral:rRNA from 1 species